rnacentral:lncRNA from 1 species
UCCGAAGCCCCGAGCACACAUUGCGCUCCGUGGUGCCAUCUAUUCGGCCGACUCGGUACUGCCUGGCUCGUUCGUAGGCCAUAACAGUGCGCGCGCAGCGGCUCGGACCAGUCCACUCGGAGUUCGGAGGGGGAGCAGUGGGGAUGAGGAGUUGGGCAGGUCGGGCGGGCUCGGAUUCUCGGAAUCGCAGCAAUCGCAGCAUAUAGUUAUCGCAGGCCGGUUCGCCGAUAUCAGAGAAAGAGAGGCCUAGACUACAUAAUCAAUGUCUAUGAAUAACGUAGGGCGUAGAUGAUAUCCGCGAUUCUGUGCUAAAUCGAGGCGCGCGUCCGGAACAAAGGUUUUUUCAACAGUUUAACUGUGUGUUCUCUGUAACUGCAUCACUACUGUGCUUUGUUAAAAUGAAACGGAUAGACGAUCACAUGGUGAGUGCGAGAGGGAGAUAAGGUUUUUCGAUCGCAAACGCGUUUCUGCCGGCUUUUCAACCAGUUUAUUCGAACUCGAACGUGAUCGAUACUGUAUGACAAAACGCGCGCCGACAUUUUGGUUACGUUUCGAAAUUUGUAGAAUGUUUGUCGCGUUCGUAACGUGAAUUAUAGAUCUUGAAUACUACCGAUGUUAUUUCGAAGCUCGUGCCUCGUUCGGAUUCAUACAUCGCAUUUCGUCGAGCGUACCAGCGUUUCGUCGCGCCGCGUUUUCGGGAGUGCCGACCGACAUUUAAUUGAAAACGAACCGCAGCCGGUUCGUCGCGUCGCGCGUGUGCUUAAUUCGGGAGUGCCGUUUAAGUAAACGGACUAAAAAGACUUGUCUGGUAAUUCCCAUGAUGUAACUUGAUUGAGUGAUACCGCUCAUCCCUCUCGCUCGAUUUUACUUGUAAUAAAGAAAAGGAAAUAUUAAUAAACUUUAGAAAAUAAAACUCAAAAAAAUUUUCUUGUUCUAAAUAAAACUCCCUUUGAAUUGGAAAAUAUCAUGGGUUUUAUAGAUUAGUCUUAUUAGUUUCACGCGCGAUUAUAGUGUAUUACUCGCGUGUGUUCUGUGCAACAAGAGGAGCAUGAGAUGCAGGCCUGGGAAAGGUAUCGGGUCUCGGCAGAGCAACCUUGGGAAUCAUUACAGCGACGUUGCUGAACUCUGCCUCUGCGCAUUAUUCGAAAUCAUCGCCAUCAAAAGAAACUCAGAAGGUCCAGAAUUUAUUCCCUUCUGUAGCGGGGUCUCUGAUGUUCAACGAGUCACUUAACUUCUCUUACAAAGGAUCGAUCUCACAGAACCCGAGAAGCAAGGUAGAAGCGAUGCCAACAACUAGAUCACACCAGGGAGGAAAUAGACGGAUCGUCGCUACCUCGAUGUAAUCUUGUAGGAAACCGCCGGUGUUAAUUCCAAGAGUCAUUCGAAGAACACGUUAGAUAUCUUCUCUGUCGUGAGACGCGUAAUACGGCACUUCGGAAGGAUUUAUGAGCGUGGUUUUCACGUUCACUGAUGACGCCUCGUCUACCGGUAAUGCGCGUUCCACGGAUUCUUUUUCGCACCUAGCCUCACGCAUGCACGUACGUACGUACGCUCAUCAGCUCUGCAUCCACAAGUAUAUAUGGACAAGAGAGAAGGCGAAAAUACGCGGCAAUUAACCCGCCGUCAAGAUACGCACUCGCGAUAUCGGGCUGCCUGACUUUGCUUCAGGUGCCUCGAAGAAUCGCGAGUGCGAUCAGCGAUAUAUCAUCGCUUCCUCGCGCUGGAGAAAGCGGACUUUUAAAGCGCAGUCCCGUGGCGCAAAAAGAACGCGCAUGCAUGCAUGCAUGAAGCUUUUGCCUUUCGGGAAACAUGCAAUGCCUCAUAAGACUUUCGAUUUUUUAAACGUGACGUUUCGCAACCGCGCGACUUUCGACUAUCAUUCUGAUCUUAUUGGAUAAUGCGUGACGUCCGAGCUGAAUAAGUGAUAUUUUUGCAUUUACGUAUUUAUAAAUAUUCAUAAAUAUUUUUAUCAAUUGUAUAACGUUUCGUUAAAAUAAAUACGUAUUUUAAUAUGCUUGAAUUAUGAAAAGUAUUGUGUUUGGAAAAUAAUAUUUUUAUCAGGAUUUGAGAAAUUUCCUUCUCGAUUAUGUAACUAUCGUGAACGUUUGUUUGUUUUCUUCCUAAUUCUUAUUUGUACCAUUAUUUCUAGAAGAUAACUUUCAACAACGCAUAUUAUGCACCGCAUUGAGCAAAUUAUAUGUUCCGGUGAAACCGUGAAAUUGCUCCCGAACUCCAACGUUAACAACUUCCUCGGUCAAAGUAUAAUUUUGAAAAGCAUUUGUGCGAAAGUCGAUCGUCCGCAUUAAUUAACGACAGUUUAACGGCAUUGAUAUUAUUGCAUCGCUAAAAACAGUAAUAUUCCGUCAAACUUUGUAUCACUUUUAUUUUACUAUUAAUAAAAAAAUGAAAAUUUAAUCAAAUUUAAUCAUUUCAUAUUAUCAACAACAUAUUAUCAAUCAUUUCAUAUUAUCAACAUAAAAUCGAUAUUAUUUUAUUCUGAAAAGGCGUGUUAUAUUUUUAGAAGACGUACCAUUCAUAAUAUUACUCUUCUAAGUCUGAUAAUUUAAUACUUUAUCAGAUUGCAUAUUUUAAAAUUAACCCAAGAAAUGAAGAAAUUUUUCCCUGUGAAGUAUUAAAGCUAAUGGAAUCCGAGAGCAUUGCUGCUAUUUCUGAUAAGUUCUGAUAAGUUAUUAAUCGUAUAUCGGUAAAAACAGAAUAAUCAACAACUUUAUAUUAACAUAAUAUUUUCAUGUAUCUACUUUUCUGUAUCUCUGUAAUGUCUUUACCUCUCGCCGUCUACAAAUAACGAAAUAAUUCCUUCGCAAGGUAAGUAAAAUUUAAAUCUUGAAUGCAUUCCAAAAGAACAGGUUAUUAUAAAUGCUUAAUUUCUAGUUAGUCAAACAAUAGCGGCUUUUAAGGAUUCAGAGAGCAUCAGAAAAGGAAUAAUAUUAAGACUAAAACUGAGCAUCAGAAAUAUGAGUAUUCAAAGAUUUUUUGACUCAAAAAGCAAAAAAGUACAUAAUAUUUUACACAGAAAUUUUUCUAUAAGUUGUAAAUUGCAAAUCUAAAAAGAUUUCAAAAAUAUAGACAUCAAAAUCUUAGAUGUCUACAUUUUUAAAACAGGUAUGUAAAAGUUUUUUCAAACUUUAGAUAAGUUGUUCUUGAAUACUCUUUUCAGUAACUGUACUUACGUAUUACAUUUUGUAUGAAUGCAAAGCUUUUUCCGGUAUAAAAUGUCUGUAGAAAAUGUCUGUUUAUCUAAAAUUUAUCGAGUAAAGCCAAGGAACCAGAAAUGCUUUCAUAUAUACCUCUUUUCUCCAGAUCUCUAACAGCAUUUAAUAAUAACUCAGCAAACAGACUGAUUUGGGUUAAAU